rnacentral:rRNA from 1 species
CCUACGGGAGGCAGCAGUAGGGAAUCUUCCACAAUGGGCGCAAGCCUGAUGGAGCAACACCGCGUGAGUGAAGAAGGGUUUCGGCUCGUAAAGCUCUGUUGUUGGAGAAGAACGUGCGUGAGAGUAACUGUUCACGCAUUGACGGUAUCCAACCAGAAAGUCACGGCUAACUACGUGCCAGCAGCCGCGGUAAUACGUAGGUGGCAAGCGUUAUCCGGAUUUAUUGGGCGUAAAGCGAGCGCAGGCGGUUGUUUAGGUCUGAUGUGAAAGCCUUCGGCUUAACCGAAGAAGUGCAUCGGAAACCGGGCGACUUGAGUGCAGAAGAGGACAGUGGAACUCCAUGUGUAGCGGUGAAAUGCGUAGAUAUAUGGAAGAACACCAGUGGCGAAGGCGGCUGUCUGGUCUGUAACUGACGCUGAGGCUCGAAAGCAUGGGUAGCGAACAGGAUUAGAUACCCGUGUAGUC